rnacentral:rRNA from 1 species
AGUGAACGCUGGCGGUAGGCAUAACACAUGCAAGUCGAACGGCAGCACAGUCAGAGCUUGCUCUUCUAGGUGGCGAGUGGCGGCCGGGUGCCGAAACCAUCGCUCUCUACUUUUUCGUGGACUAUACCGACGGGCAAAUUACGCUAAUACAUCAUACUACCUACGGGUGAAAGCAGGGGACAUUCCGCCCUCGCGCGAUUGGUUGAGCCGAUGUCGGAUUAGCUAGUUGGCGGGGUAAAGGCCCACCAAGGCGUCGAUCCGUAGCUGGUCUGAGAGGAGGAUCAGCCACACUGGAACGGAGACACGGUCCAGACUCCUACGGGAGGCAGCAGUGGGGAACAUUGGACAAUGGGCGCAAGCCUGAUCCAGGCAUACGGCGUGGGUGAAGAAGGCCUUCGGGUUGUAAAGCCCUUUUGUUGGGAAAGAAAAGCAGCAGGUUAAUACCCCGCUGUUCUGACGGUACCCAAAGAAUAAGCUCCGGCUAACUUCGUG